AAUGGUGUGCAUGAAUGUCCCGGCUGAUGCUCUCAAGAGCAUCAACAAUGCCAAAAGAGAGGCAAACACCAGGUUCUUAUAAUGUCGUCGUCUGGUUUCUAACUGUGGUGAUGAAGCAUAGUUACACUGGUGAAGUUGAAGUCAUUGAUGAUCACAGAGCUAGGAAAACUGCUGUGAACCUCACAGGCAGGUUAAACAAGUGUGGAGUAAUCAGCCCCUGAUUUGAUGUGCAACUCAAAAAUCUAGAAAAAUGGCAGAAUAAUCUGCUCCCAUCCUGCCAGUUGGGUUUCAUUGUACUCACAACCUCAGCUGGCAUCAUGGAUCACAAAGAAGCAAGACGAAAACACACAGGAGGUAAAAUCCUGGAAUUCUUUUUCUAA
rnacentral:lncRNA from 1 species